rnacentral:rRNA from 1 species
GGGUGAGUAAUGCUUGGGAACAUGCCUUGAGGUGGGGGACAACAGUUGGAAACGACUGCUAAUACCGCAUAAUGUCUACGGACCAAAGGGGGCUUCGGCUCUCGCCUUUAGAUUGGCCCAAGUGGGAUUAGCUAGUUGGUGAGGUAAUGGCUCACCAAGGCGACGAUCCCUAGCUGGUUUGAGAGGAUGAUCAGCCACACUGGGACUGAGACACGGCCCAGACUCCUACGGGAGGCAGCAGUGGGGAAUAUUGCACAAUGGGCGCAAGCCUGAUGCAGCCAUGCCGCGUGUGUGAAGAAGGCCUUCGGGUUGUAAAGCACUUUCAGUCAGGAGGAAAGGUUAGUAGUUAAUACCUGCUAGCUGUGACGUUACUGACAGAAGAAGCACCGGCUAACUCCGUGCCAGCAGCCGCGGUAAUACGGAGGGUGCGAGCGUUAAUCGGAAUUACUGGGCGUAAAGCGUACGCAGGCGGUUUGUUAAGCGAGAUGUGAAA